GUAGGGAAUAUUGCACAAUGGAGGAAACUCUGAUGCAGCGACGCCGCGUGAGUGAUGAAGGCCUUCGGGUCGUAAAGCUCUGUCGCAGGGGAAUAACACAAUGAAUGUACCCUGUAAGAAAGGAUCGGCUAACUUCGUGCCAGCAGCCGCGGUAAGACGAGGGAUCCUAGCGUUGUUCGGAAUUAUUGGGCGUAAAGCGGAUGUAGGUGGCUUUGUAAGUCAGGUGUGAAAGCCUGGGGCUCAACCCCAGAAGUGCAUUUGAUACUGCGAAGCUUGAGUGUCGGAGAGGUUACUAGAAUUGUUGGUGUAGUGGUGAAAUACGUAGAUAUCAACAGGAAUACCGGAGGCGAAGGCGGGUGACUGGCCGAACACUGACACUGAGAUCCGAAAGCGUGGGGAUCAAACAGGAUUAGAUACCCGGGUAGUCC
rnacentral:rRNA from 1 species